AGCCAGUGAACAAAGGUGAGCUGACAGGAAAGACGAACCAGACGGCCCAGAACCCAGAAGAGGCCCCAGUCCUCUGAGACGAAUGUCUCAGGGGGUCCUCUACUAAAGUCUGAACCGGGUGAAGAAGGGGAGUCUCUUUUAGCCAAGAUCUCCACACACAUGAAAGAGAAAACCCUGUUUGACAAGUAAAUGAGGCCAACCGAAGGGCUCACCAGGAAUGAUCUCCUCCGUGACAGCUGCGCCCCCAAUCACAUGGCGCCUCUCGAAGACCGCGGUGUUCACCCCCAGUCUCUGGAGGCCCCGGGUAUCUUCUCCUCUGUCCUCCAUUGGAUUCAGCAUCUCACGGGGCACCAGGAAGCCACUCUGGGUCUGUUGGACUCGGCUUGGAAGAAGCUCUCUU
rnacentral:lncRNA from 1 species